GGGUUUGCUUCGGCAACACAUGUGCUAAAAUUGGAAUGAUACAGAGAAGAAUAGCAUGGCACCUGCGCAAGGAUGACACGCAAAUUCAUGAAGCAUUCCAUAUUAAA
rnacentral:snRNA from 1 species